GACGAACGCUGGCGGCGUGCUUAACACAUGCAAGUCGAACGAAGAGCGAUGGAAGCUUGCUUCUAUCAAUCUUAGUGGCGAACGGGUGAGUAACGCGUAAUCAACCUGCCCUUCAGAGGGGGACAACAGUUGGAAACGACUGCUAAUACCGCAUACGAUCUAACCUCGGCAUCGAGGAUAGAUGAAAGGUGGCCUCUACAUGUAAGCUAUCACUGAAGGAGGGGAUUGCGUCUGAUUAGCUAGUUGGAGGGGUAACGGCCCACCAAGGCGAUGAUCAGUAGCCGGUCUGAGAGGAUGAACGGCCACAUUGGGACUGAGACACGGCCCAGACUCCUACGGGAGGCAGCAGUGGGGAAUCUUCCGCAAUGGACGAAAGUCUGACGGAGCAACGCCGCGUGAGUGAUGACGGCCUUCGGGUUGUAAAGCUCUGUUAAUCGGGACGAAAGGCCUUCUUGCGAAUAGNGAGAAGGAUGACG
rnacentral:rRNA from 1 species